CCUACGGGGUGCUGCAGUGGGGAAUAUUGGACAAUGGGCGAAAGCCUGAUCCAGCCAUGCCGCGUGUGUGAAGAAGGCCUUCGGGUUGUAAAGCACUUUCAGUGGGGAAGAAAGCCUUGGGGCUAAUACCCUCGAGGAAGGACAUCACCCACAGAAGAAGCACCGGCUAACUCCGUGCCAGCAGCCGCGGUAAUACGGAGGGUGCGAGCGUUAAUCGGAAUUACUGGGCGUAAAGCGCGCGUAGGCGGUCUGAUAAGCCGGUUGUGAAAGCCCCGGGCUCAACCUGGGAACGGCAUCCGGAACGGUCAGGCUAGAGUGCAGGAGAGGGAGGUAGAAUUCCCGGGGUAGCGGUGAAAUGCGUAGAGAUCGGGAGGAAUACCAGUGGCGAAGGCGGCCUUCUGGACUGACACUGACGCUGAGGUGCGAAAGCGUGGGUAGCAAACAGGAUUAGAUACCCGGUAGUC
rnacentral:rRNA from 1 species